GAUAAACGCUGGCGGCGUGCCUAAUACAUGCAAGUCGAGCGAACGGACGAGAAGCUUGCUUCUCUGAUGUUAGCGGCGGACGGGUGAGUAACACGUGGAUAACCUACCUAUAAGACUGGGAUAACUUCGGGAAACCGGAGCUAAUACCGGAUAAUAUUUUGAACCGCAUGGUUCAAAAGUGAAAGACGGUCUUGCUGUCACUUAUAGAUGGAUCCGCGCUGCAUUAGCUAGUUGGUAAGGUAACGGCUUACCAAGGCAACGAUGCAUAGCCGACCUGAGAGGGUGAUCGGCCACACUGGAACUGAGACACGGUCCAGACUCCUACGGGAGGCAGCAGUAGGGAAUCUUCCGCAAUGGGCGAAAGCCUGACGGAGCAACGCCGCGUGAGUGAUGAAGGUCUUCGGAUCGUAAAACUCUGUUAUUAGGGAAGAACAUAUGUGUAAGUAACUGUGCACAUCUUGACGGUACCUAAUCAGAAAGCCACGGCUAACUACGUGCCAGCAGCCGCGGUAAUACGUANGUGGCAAGCGUUAUCCGAAAUUAUUGGGCGUAAAGCGCGCGUAGCGGUUUUUUAGUCUGAUGUGAAAGCCCACGGCUCAACCGUGGAGGGUCAUUGGAAACUGGAAAACUUGAGUGCAGAAGAGGAAAGUGGAAUUCCAUGUGUAGCGGUGAAAUGCGCAGAGAUAUGGAGGAACACCAGUGGCGAAGGCGACUUUCUGGUCUGUAACUGACGCUGAUGUGCGAAAGCGUGGGGAUCAAACAGGAUUAGAUACCCUGGUAGUCCACGCCGUAAACGAUGAGUGCUAAGUGUUAGGGGGUUUCCGCCCCUUAGUGCUGCAGCUAACGCAUUAAGCACUCCGCCUGGGGAGUACGACCGCAAGGUUGAAACUCAAAGGAAUUGAUGGGGACCCGCACAAGCGGUGGAGCAUGUGGUUUAAUUCGAAGCAACGCGAAGAACCUUACCAAAUCUUGACAUCCUUUGACAACUCUAGAGAUAGAGCCUUCCCCUUCGGGGGACAAAGUGACAGGUGGUGCAUGGUUGUCGUCAGCUCGUGUCGUGAGAUGUUGGGUUAAGUCCCGCAACGAGCGCAACCCUUAAGCUUAGUUGCCAUCAUUAAGUUGGGCACUCUAAGUUGACUGCUGGUGACAAACCGGAGGAAGGUGGGGAUGACGUCAAAUCAUCAUGCCCCUUAUGAUUUGGGCUACACACGUGCUACAAUGGACAAUACAAAGGGCAGCGAAGCCGCGAGGUCAAGCAAAUCCCAUAAAGUUGUUCUCAGUUCGGAUUGUAGUCUGCAACUCGACUACAUGAAGCUGGAAUCGCUAGUAAUCGUAGAUCAGCAUGCUACGGUGAAUACGUUCCCGGGUCU
rnacentral:rRNA from 1 species